rfam:Candidatus Entotheonella sp. TSY2 genomic scaffold TSY2_scaffold00733, whole genome shotgun sequence.
AAUGAAGUGGAUUGAUUUAUGGCGUAUUGCAACCACUCAAAAAAAUUGCUAAAAAGCCGGGG